rnacentral:rRNA from 1 species
GUGCCUAAUACUGGCAAGUCGAGCGGACAGAUGGGAGCUUGCUCCCUGAUGUUAGCGGGGAAGGGUGAGUAACACGUGGGUAACCUGCCUGUAAGACUGGGAUAACUCCGGGAAACCGGGGCUAAUACCGGAUGCUUGUUUGAACCGCAUGGUUCAAACAUAAAAGGUGCUUUCGGCUACCACUUACAGAUGGACCCGCGGCGCAUUAGCUAGUUGGUGAGGUAACGGCUCCCCAACGCAACGAUGCGUAGCCGACCCGAGAGGGUGAUGGGCCACACUGCGACUGAGACACCGCCCANACUCCCACGGGAGCCACCAGCAGGGA